rnacentral:misc_RNA from 1 species
GAAAUGCGAUAAGUAAUGUGAAUUGCAGAAUUCAGUGAAUCAUCGAAUCUUUGAACGCACAUUGCGCCCGCCAGUAUUCUGGCGGGCAUGCCUGUUCGAGCGUCAUUUCAACCAUCAAACCCCCGGCUUGUGUUGGGGACCUGCGGCUGCCCGCAGGCCCUGAAAAACAGUGGCGGGCUCGCUGUCACACCGAGCGUAGUAGCAUACAUUCUCGCUCAGGGCGUGCUGCGGGUUCCGGCCGUUAAACGACCUUCAUAACCCAAGGUUGACCUCGGAUCAGGUAGGAAGACCCGCUGAACUUAAGC